AAAAUUAGAUGAAAUUUUUAAGUUUCUCAAUUUUUUUAACAUGUUAUCAGAGCGAUUUGUAAAUCAUUUUGGGUUACAAAAUGGGUUUUCUUUGGGGAAAUUUUUAAGUUUCCUUCAGAUGUUCUGAUCAGAUUUCCCCAAUCGUGUUCGUUUUUUUCAUUGAGUUCGAUUAGUGUUUUAGGCGUAAAGCAUAGAAGGCAUCGUUGAUUUCAAUCACCCAUUGUUUCUGCACCCCUCGAAUAUGCCAGGAGAGCAUAUGGUCUCUUAUCAACUUGUGGGUUUGGAAAAUUAUAGUAUAUGGAGUAGAUCGAUGCGGAUUGCCCUUAUUGGAAAAAACAAUCUAGGAUUCAUUGAUGGAGACUGUCGCAAAGACGAUUAUGAGUUGGCGUUGCAUCCACAAUGGGAGAGAUGCAAUGCAAUCAUGUUAUCUUGGAUACUCAACACCGUGAAUUAAGAACUUUUGGCUGGGAUUGUGUUUGCUUCUAGUCUGGCAUUGGUGUGGCAAGAUUUGAAGGAAUGCUUUGACGAAGUUAAUGGGUCGAGGAUCUUUUUCCUUCAUCGACCAAUUGCAACUCUUAACCAGGGUGAGUCUACUGUUUCUAUUUACUUCACAUGUCUCAAACUUUUGUAGGACGAGUAUAGUGCUUUGGUUCCAUUUGCAUCAUUCAAUUAUGAGGUUUCUCAAUUGAAUCAUGCGCAUCUGGUUCAGCAAAAGUUAUUUCAAUUUCUCAUGAGACUCAACGAGAUGUAUUUAGCCAUCAGGAGUCAGAUUUUGCUUAUGCAACCACUUCUUUUGGUAAAUCACUCAUAUUCGAUGAUAGUACAAGAGGAAUCACAGCGUGUGCACUUGUUUGGAGUUCCUAUUAUGGAGAUUGUUGCAAUGUUUUCAAAUGCCUCUAGGAGUUCAGAUCACCACCGAUACAAUGAGGUUUGUGACUACUGUAAAAUUAAGGGCCAUCAUCAUUAUAAUUGAUAUCGACUAAUUGGUUUCCCCUCAGAUUUUAAGUUCACAAAGAAGAAAAUUCCACAGGCAGCUAUGGCCAUCAAUUUAGAGGUACAGUUUCUGGAUGUUUACUUGCUACUAAUGGAUCUCUUCGUUGGAUUUUGGAUACAAGGGCAACAGGUCAUAUCUUAUCUGACUUUGAGAGUUUGUUGUUUCCUGUUUCAUGUGCUACACCUCGUUAUGUUCAUCUACCAAAUGGCAAAACAUAUACUAUUACCCAUAUAGGUUCUUAUAGGUUGACUCCUAAUCACCUCAUUACCAAUGUCUUACUUGUUCCGAAUUUUUCUCACAAUUUGCUUUCAGUGUCUAAACUUUCCAAAGAACUUAAUUGUCUCAUCAUGUUCUAUCCUGACUUUUGUUUCUUGAAAGAUCUCUCGAAUGACAUGAUCAAGGGGAUUGGUAGAGAGUCUAGAGGGUUGUAUUUUUUUGAGUCUGCUAAAAGAGCUUCUGGUUUGUUAUCUUCGGUUUAAUGUAGUGAUUUUCCUUUUUCCAAUAUUGUUUCUCAUGAUGAUUCAAUGUCUUUUGAUCAGCAAUCUACUGUUUUGCACAAUAAUACUCAUGUAUGGCAUACUUGUUUAGGGCAUGCUUUUGUUACUACAAUGCAAAAGUUACAUGUUUUUAAUUCUUACAAACUUGAUAUUGAUACUGUGCAUAAUUGUAGUAUAUAUCCUUUAGCCAAACAGAAUAUAUUACCUUUUCCUCUUAGUCAUUCAAGCUCUAACAUACAUUUUGAACUCAUUCAUGUUGAUCUUUAGGGUCCCUAUCAUGUUUCAACACAAAGUGGACAUAGGCUCUUUCUCACUAUUGUAGAUGACUGUACACGCAUGACUUGGAUUUAUCUAUUGAGGGUUAAGAGUGACACAAUUUUGUUUCUUAGAAAUUUCUUCUCCUUUGUUAAAACCCAAUUUUCUCUCUCAGUUAAGAAUAUCCGUAGUGAUAAUGUGAUAGAAUUUUUCAA